CACAGUGGGGGUAUUUGUUAAACUGAUAUUCAAGGUCAAAACACCAGUCCCCACUGAGGAUGAUGUCCUUGGUGCCGUCAAGAAGCAAUUGUCUCCUCAAUUCACGACCACUCAAACCACCUUCCAGAAUGCAACUUAUAUCAAACUUACAGAUACUUCAUUUGCCAUCGACCUUGGUUUCAAAAUAACCAAUGUAACCCAGGAGUCUCUAAGUAAUAGACUCACACUCACCAAUGAGACCGAGAUCCAGGAUUCAAUUAACAGACUACUCCAUAAGGUUCUCAGUGAACCAGACGGCAAACAGUUUCAAUUUCCC